rnacentral:rRNA from 1 species
CCUACGGGAGGCAGCAGUGAGGAAUAUUGGUCAAUGGACGCAAGUCUGAACCAGCCAUGCCGCGUGCAGGAUGACGGCCCUAUGAGUUGUAAACUGCUUUUGUACGAGGAUAAACCCCGAUACGUGUACCGUGUUGAAAGUAUCUUACGAAUAAGGAUCGGCUAACUCCGUGCCAGCAGCCGCGGUAAUACGGAGGAUCCGAGCGUUAUCCGGAUUUAUUGGGUUUAAAGGGUGCGUAGACGGUUUGAUAAGUCAGUGGUGAAAGGUCGCGGCUCAACCCCGAAACUGCCUCUAAUACUGUUAGACUAGAGAAUAGUUGCGGUAGGCGGAAUGUAUGGUGUAGCGGUGAAAUGCUUAGAGAUCAUACAGAACACCGAUUGCGAAGGCAGCUUACCAAACUAUAUCUGACGUUGAGGCACGAAAGCGUGGGUAGCAAACAGGAUUAGAUACCCCUGUAGUC